UACGUAGGUGACAAGCGUUGUCCGGAUUUACUGGGCGUAAAGAGCGCGCAGGCGGUCGAUCAAGUCGAGUGUGAAAGCCCCCGGCUCAACUGGGGAGGGUCAUUCGAUACUGAUCGACUCGAAGGCAGGAGAGGGUAGUGGAAUUCCCGGUGUAGUGGUGAAAUGCGUAGAUAUCGGGAGGAACACCAGUGGCGAAGGCGGCUCUCUGGGCCUUUCCUGACGCUGAGGUGCGAAAGCCAGGGGAGCAAACGGG
rnacentral:rRNA from 1 species